AUGGACCCUGCACGUAUGCUGCCGAGGGACAUACCGUUCCAUCUAUUAGAAGAAAUUACAGAAAAUUUCUCCGACGAGCGGAAACUUGGGAGCGGUGCAUAUGGAAAAGUGUACCUGGGAGUGGAUAAAAAUGGGGUUAAGAUUGCUGUAAAGGUGCUUCAUGAGAGGACAGACCUUGACGAUAACAAGCGGCAGUUUGAGACGGAGUUUAAGAACCUGGAAAGUCUCCAACAUCAAAAUAUCAUACACAGGGUGCUCUGCUUUGAGUAUAUGCCUGGAAAAAGCCUAGACAAGCUUCUUGCAGAUGAACAUAAUGGACUUGGUUGGCACACAAGCUAUGCAAUAAUUAUUGGAAUCUGCAAGGGGCUGAAAUACCUUCACGAGGAGUUACAAGAUCCUAUGUUUCAUUUGGAUUUAAAACUAGCAAACAUAUUGCUGGAUGGUAAUAUGGUGCCAAAGAUCGCAGACUUCGGCUUGUCAAGGCUCACUGGAGGGGAACAUACACAAAUAACGCAGGGUGUUUUCGGAACACUUGGGUAUGUGCCUCCUGAGUACCGAGACAAGGGUGUAAUUUCUCUUAAGUUCGACAUAUUCAGCUUAGGUGUCGUAAUUAUAAAGAUAAUGGGACGAGUUGAUGCCUACUACAGGAGGGAAGAAAAGUCUCCCCAGGAAUUCAUUGAGGAUGUGCACCGGCACUGGAGGAAUAGGCUGCAGGCAGCAUCAGGGGUUGCCUUGGAGUCAUACUGCAAACAAGUCAUAAGAUGUGUCACCAUAGCUUUAGACUGUGUGGAGGGUGAUCGACGCAAGAGGCCAACUAUUGGAACUAUCGUCAGUCAACUUAAUGAGGUAGAUGUUAUGUGUCCAUUUCCGGAUGCGUUGCGAAAUGACCCGGAGUCCUCGGCGGAGCAGGAAACCAGGCAAACUGACAUUACAGAAGUAGAAGGAAAUCGGGAGAGGGAAGAGCUGAGCCAGAUAGAGAAUCUCUUUGGUGAAGUAGUCGACAACUACAAGUUGGAUCAAAUGGCAAGUUACAUGGGCAAAUCCAAGACACGGGAUGACCGAGUACGAGAAGCCUGCAUCCUGGUAACGGAGGACGGCAAGGAUGCCAGGGCGUCUAGGUAUGUGGAGGGUCUCAAGACUAUGCAUGGCGAUGGCGAUGGUCAGUCCACGAUGUGCCUUGUGUAUAACGCGACCGGCAGCACCCUCCACCACGUCCUCCAGCACGACUGGUCUGGUCAUAUUGGCAGGGCUCCCUAUCCUGCCUUGACCGGCAACGGCCAGUGGGCUGCCUUUCAUCACGUUGCCCAGCCCGGCGAGCCAGAUUCGCUGGCGGCGGUCCUCUACCGAGGGAAGAACAAAGAUGGCCACGACCAUGAUUACUUGCUUGCGUGGCAUACACCGUCGAGAUGGUAUGAGUGCAACAAGGCGUAUUGCGACAUCGGUGGUGUCGACUACUUCAAAAAUCGUUGGGCUGAUAUACACAGCAAACUGAGCAAAUCCGAUUACUCUUCGGACGCCAUAUACGGUGGGUGUUAUAUUGAAGCAAAAAUUGGAGGGGGCAAUAGUCCUAAGUUUACUGCAAGAAUCACCUCCGUGGACGGACAUCGCCAGCAUUGGCAACCAGUUACGUUUGUCCAAGCUGCAGAAGUCGUUGGGGAACUGACGGAUGAUGCAACGAAUAAGACCUCCCAAGUGUCGGGGGGUUGUCGGCCUCGGCCCCUGUGUGUUCAAUUACUUCUUGCCACCGCCCAUCUCCAGGAGCGAAGAGAGGAGCGAAGAGAGGCUCAUCCUCGGCGCGACGAGCCGUCCAUCGGCAAGGCCAUGUCCUUGAGGAGCACCAGGAGCACGACACCUCCCAUUCCCGUGCCCGGCGACGUCAGUGGCGGCGAGGACACUAGCAGCGGUGGGGAGCACAAGUAG
rnacentral:rRNA from 1 species